UUUCGGAUGUGCUCUAAUUGUGUGGUGCGCUUUUGUUUAAAUAAUUUCAAUUCUUUUACUCUGCAGGAGAUACACAAAAUUUUAUGGGACUUCUGAGAGAGCUGCAAAGGACUUGGCCCAUGAUGCAUUAACUCAAUACAAACGAUGGGAAGAAGACAUUGAGAAAUGGCAAAAUCCUAUUCUUCAGGAUGAGUCACUACCAGAAUGGUAAUUCUCUGUUUAAGCAUGAAGACAUUUUAAUUUUUAAGCAUCAACUUGUGUAUUUGUUUGUUAUGGAUAAUUGCCAGGUUUAUAUUAGCUUAGAGCCUCUGCAGUAUGU